UGGGGAAUAUUGGACAAUGGGCGAAAGCCUGAUCCAGCCAUGCCGCGUGUGUGAAGAAGGUCUUCGGAUUGUAAAGCACUUUAAGUUGGGAGGAAGGACAUUAACCUAAUACGUUAGUGUUUUGACGUUACCGACAGAAUAAGCACCGGCUAACUCUGUGCCAGCAGCCGCGGUAAUACAGAGGGUGCAAGCGUUAAUCGGAAUUACUGGGCGUAAAGCGCGCGUAGGUGGUUUGUUAAGUUGGAUGUGAAAUCCCCGGGCUCAACCUGGGAACUGCAUUCAAAACUGACUGACUAGAGUAUGGUAGAGGGUGGUGGAAUUUCCUGUGUAGCGGUGAAAUGCGUAGAUAUAGGAAGGAACACCAGUGGCGAAGGCGACCACCUGGACUAAUACUGACACUGAGGUGCGAAAGCGUGGGGAGCAAACA
rnacentral:rRNA from 1 species